UCCCGAAUAGUGAAGCGGCAUCACAACAGAUUCUGGCUCUGUUAUCCUAGGUUCGAAUCCUAGUUCGGGAUC
rnacentral:tRNA from 1 species